GGAGGGUGCAAGCGUUGUUCGGAAUCACUGGGCGUAAAGGGCGUGUAGGCGGUCCGCUAAGUCUGAUGUGAAAGCCCGAGGCUUACCCUCGGAAGUGCAUUGGAGACUGGCGGACUGGAGUCCCGGAGAGGAGGGUGGAAUUCCUGGUGUAGCGGUGAAAUGCGUAGAUAUCAGGAGGAACACCGGUGGCGAAGGCGGCCCUCUGGACGGUGACUGACGCUGAGACGCGAAAGCGUGGGGAGCAAACAGGAUUAGAUACCCUGGUAGUCCACGCUGUAAACGAUGAGCACUAGGUGUCGCGGGUAUUGACCCCUGCGGUGCCGACGCUAACGCAUUAAGUGCUCCGCCUGGGGAGUACGGUCGCAAGAUUA
rnacentral:rRNA from 1 species